rnacentral:lncRNA from 1 species
GUGUUGUUCGGAAAGCUCAUACUACCCGAGGAGCAGAAAGGGUCAGAGAAGACGCAGCUUUCAUCAGGCGGAUCGAACCAGAACUGUGUUGUGGGUUCUUCAUCAGAAGAAGGAUCACCUUGCUCCAAAAAAGCUCAUGAUGGAUUGGGUUUGGAGACGGGGCAUUGUAAAGUGUUUAUGGAGUCGGACGAUGUUGGUCGGACGUUAGACCUGUCGGUUCUUGGCUCGUACGAAGAGUUGGGUAUGAAGCUCUCUGACAUGUUUGGUAUUCAAAAGUCUGAGAUGUUGAGCUCUGUUCUCUAUAGGGAUGCAUCAGGAGCAGUCAAGUACCCAGGAAACGAACCUUUCAGGUAAAAACAAGAAGCAGAGUUUUGUAUAUAAAUGUCCUAAUCUGUGGAGAUUGAGUUAAGCAUCUGAUUAGUAAAUAAAUGUUUGCAGUGAGUUCUUGAAGACAGCUCGGAGAUUGACGAUUCUGUCUGAGCAAGGAAGCGAGAGCGUUGUGGUAUAAGAAUGAAUCAGUGUGUUUUCUUGGAGCUUGGAAGUCAAAGCUUGAAGUUUCUGUUUAUUUUUCUUUGUUUAAAAAUAUUUAUUUUGGUUCCAUUAUUUUGGUUUAUGUAAUUUACGAAAUAUACAGUCAUUCUAUUUGCAAAUAAAAUAGAUUCAUCUUUUCUUGAUAUGAUGUCACUUUAUUUACAAAAUCUAAAGCUAAUGAUUAUAGCUUGGUAAAACUAAAACCUAGAGACUCAAGCUAAUCUUUGUAUUGCUUUUCUUUUUGAUUCCCUUGUCUACCUUUGGAUUGCAAGAUCUGGUGAACCUUGGUUUAAUAUAGUUGAAUAGUUAGAUUGCUGAUUGUAGUUGAUACUUGUAUAUGCAUUUAACUUGUAAGUUGGAAGUAGUGUACAAAGAAGAUAAUCAAUAUAAGAGAUUAUUUUGAAGCUCUCUUGUUUCUCUCAUCUUCUUCCUCUUGUAGAUUCGUUUUACAUAGGAGCCUCAUAUAGUAUCUUACUGAAGUAAACGUUGGUUGCAUGGCUUAGUCUACAGGUUCAUGUGUUCAGGUAACCCCUUCCGCAAGUUGCCUUAUUUUCAAAAAUUAGAUAAAUUGCUUAAAAUAUUAUUAAAAAUACAUUCAUCAAAAAUCUAUUAAUAUUUGGGUUUAAGGUUUGGUGAGUAUUGUUUAGAGUUUAAUAUCUAAGGGGUGGGACUGGGUUUAUAAAUUUCUAUAAAUAAUUUUUAAACAUUUUUAAAUGAUUUAGAAUGGUUAGUUUAGUUUUUUUUAUCACAAAUUCAAGGUAUUUAUGAAAAUUUUCAUCCUUUAAAGUUAAAUUUGAAAAAUGAUAUUAAAUUUAAAGUUAAAUUAGAAUUUCCCUGUAUUCUUUACUUGUAAUCCAAGAAAGGCUCAAGGUUGCAUUUUGUGUGUUUCAGGUGGCGUGGGAUGAGCCGGAUCUACUCCAAAACGUGAAGCGGGUUAACCCGUGGUUGGUCGAGUUGGUAUCCAACGUACAUCCGAUAAUCCCUUCGUUUUCGCCACCUAGGAAAAAGAUGAGGCUACCUCAGCAUCCGGAUUACAACACUCGGAUCUCAGUACCUUCAUUCGCAAGCAACCCUCUUAUCAGAUCUGUUCUGGACAAUGUUCCCGUGGGUUUACAGGGAGCCAGGCAUAAUGCUCAUCAGUACUACGGGCUAUCAUCUUCUGAUCUCCACCAUUACUACUUAAACCGACCUCAUCCUCCUCCAUCAUCAACUCUCUCUGUUCCUCCACCUCUAGGGUUUCGAAACAUCGAUAGCAAAAACGAGAAAGGGUUCUGUUUCUUGACCAUGGGGACAUCACCGUGUAAUGAUACAGAAUCUAAGAAGUCACACAUCGUGUUGUUCGGAAAGCUCAUACUACCCGAGGAGCAGAAAGGGUCAGAGAAGACGCAGCUUUCAUCAGGCGGAUCGAACCAGAACUGUGUUGUGGGUUCUUCAUCAGAAGAAGGAUCACCUUGCUCCAAAAAAGCUCAUGAUGGAUUGGGUUUGGAGACGGGGCAUUGUAAAGUGUUUAUGGAGUCGGACGAUGUUGGUCGGACGUUAGACCUGUCGGUUCUUGGCUCGUACGAAGAGUUGGGUAUGAAGCUCUCUGACAUGUUUGGUAUUCAAAAGUCUGAGAUGUUGAGCUCUGUUCUCUAUAGGGAUGCAUCAGGAGCAGUCAAGUACCCAGG